AUUGAACGCUAGCGGCAUGCUUUACACAUGCAAGUCGAACGAGUGGCGGACGGGUGAGUAAUGCAUGGGCAUCUGGCCUAUGGAGGGGGAUAACUACGCGAAACUGUCGCUAAUAACGCGUACAAUAGGAUGAGCCCAAGUGGGAUUAGGUAGUUGGUGGGGUAAUGGCCCACAAAGGCGACGAUCUCUAGCUGGUCUGAGAGGAUGACCAGCCACACGGGGACUGAGACACGGCCCGGACGCCUACGGGAGGCAGCAGGGGGGAAUAUGGGGCAAUGGGGGAAACCUGAUGAAGCCAUGCCGCGUGUAUGAUGAAGGCCUUCGGGUUGUAAAGGUCUUUCGGUGACGAGGCGUUAACUACAGAAUAAGCACCGGCUAACUACGUGCCAGCAGCCGCGGUAAUAC
rnacentral:rRNA from 1 species